ACACAAUGGGUUUGGUUUAAUUUUCGCAUUGGCCUGUGUCAAUCGAGGUUGAGUUUAGUGAGAGUUGAAAGUUUUCGAUCUAGAUUGCAGAUCACUAUUGUCACUUUAUACAAACUGAAAGUAUGCGUUGUUGCGUGUUUGUUUUUGUGGGCAUUUGACUGAACAGCCCAGACAAAUAUUGCUACCAACAUGGCACUUCGAAACAGACCACCACAGUGUUGGAUGACUGACAAGAUCUAUGGGGGGGCCCCCUUUGGGCCCCCCCAUACCAACUUAGUCUUCAAAGGAAUCUAGUGCCAUGGGACUCCAUUGUCUUCAAAACAUCCUCGCAAUACAUGUGUAUGAAUGGUCCACCGAAGGGUUGAUCUGGAAGCCACCACGGUCCACGCAGUAAUCUGCUGCGUGGGCCGUAGUGGCUUCCAGAGCCAUCUUUCGGUCUUGGUCAGGAUUUGUUACUGUUGCCCUUCAAUGUAGCAGGCUACGGGUUUCUGAAGAAGCCUGCUUUAUGUAGCAUUGGAGUACAAAUAUUGUGCAAAAUGCUCAUGUAAUUGCACUAGCACUGGUAACCUGUAGAUUAGCUUAGUUUAACGUCUUUCGGUGCUGUCUGUCAAAUGUGUGGCUUACUUUAAGUCCACAAGGCCCUCUGGUAAACCACGUUGGAAUACCCCUGGACAAGGUGAUUAGUCACUGGGUGUGUGCUAAAGUUUUGUUCCAUUUUUCACUAGUUGGUUAAGGUUUGGUAGAAUUGUUUGGAUGCUAGCGACGUGAUGGCGUAUGUACAAGAGCCUACCGUGACCAGGCCACAGUUGCUACGGCCACGGCCAGAUGGCCUAGUGUGAGUGCAACCUUGAUUGCAUUUGUAUACUGUUUACCAUUGGAUGUUUAUGCAAUUUGGCUUAAUUCAUCAGCUGCAUUUGACUAUUCCAGGGUCGUUUUGUACAGGCUUUCAAUUGACCAUGUUGACUAGUUUGUGGGAAGUUUUUUUUUUUUACCCUUGCUUACAAUCCAACGGUUGCGACCACUUAUGCAACUGGGCUGUGAACCUUGCAAUUCUAGUUGCAUAUUUGUACACGCAAGCUUGUCCAUUUCUAUCGCCAUCACUAACACUAGCUUCAGAAUUUCCUUGCAGGCCAUUAGCUGACUUGUGUAUUGGAGCAAUGAUUUGGGUAUUUUAAGAUGCUUGAAAACCUAAAAUAAAGCAAAAUGCGUGUCUGGUGUGCAAGAGCCAAUUUGUUGGCUUGCAGUAGUCGAGAAGUUGCCGUAGGUCGUAAGCCAUCUGGAGGUUGUGGCAAUGGAGGCUUGUGGUAGAUCUGCCAUCCAAGAAAGGUUAAUUCUUCUGAAGCAUGAUUAAUAGUUUAGUAAAUUGAAUCUAUUCAUAUAGAACUAUAAAAUCCAAGACUGCAGCCAGUAACUUGGAUCGCAAUAUGUGGAAAGUAUUAGUCUUCAUUUGUAACAACAGAAUAAUUAACAUGACUAACUGGGUUUCUUCCAUUUUCUAACUAGGGGGACUUGACUGGUGAGUCUACUGGAUUUUAAUCAGUAGCGGUACUUUGCCCAACAGAUUUGAUGGCAUGACUACAGGGUGACAAAGACAAUUAUUCCCUGCCUAUCAAAAGAGACUUCUAAAACAUAUCUGCUAGAACAGUUCCUAUACCUUUUGUAUAAUUUGGUCAUGCUGCAAAUUUACUUUUUGUAGUUGCUCCAUAUUUAGUUCUUUGACAGCCUCAGCUGCUAGAAAAGUCUAUUCAAAUCGGCUGAAUAUAAUGAACUAAAUUAAUAGCCAUGAAAUGUUGUCGCUCAUACUAAUGGCAAAUACCCCCUUUCAGUUGGUGGUUCAACACUGAUGUCUCUCUAGGCUUGAGGGAGAGCUCACAAGUAAAUUACACGAAUGUCCUGGAGCAAUUGGGAAUACACUUUUAUUUAGUCUACCUGACCAGGGACAUCUUUGAACUAUAGGUCACCUAACCCAAACUUUGCACUCUUGUUAGGUUGUCCUUUUCUCGUUUUAACCCGAAAGGGCUGAAAAUAUCAACAUUUCAGGUAUUCUGUUUGGAUAAUGUGCAAAACUUGUGGCUUCACUAAUAAAAAAAAAUUAACAACUAUUUCUCUUAAUGUGGUUAAACUAUUUAAAGAUUUGUAUGCAAAAUAUUUCUGCUCAAUUUGUGGUCAAUGAAACUCCAAUUUUUUAAUUUGAUAAAACACAACUAUGGGUUAAAGGUAUUUGCUUUGGGCAUCUUUUGAUAUUUUUAGAAUCUAGCUCCAUUGCCGUUAGAAAUGGUGUCUCCCAGUACUGCAAAGUGCUUCCACAAGUUUAAAAAAGAAUGGGCAGAAAAGGAACUGCCAACUAAAUCUAUUUAAUAUGGGUAGAAAGUUUCCAUGGAAGCUCUUGGCUGCUGGUUCCCAAAACAGCUCCACUGUUGAGAAAUGAACUGGUUAAUACAAUAAACAAGACAUUUGAAACUUCAGCUACAUUUUUAUCUAUUUGUACUGCCUUUGAUUUCAACCCGUGACAUGUUUGUCAGGUGAUAACUAUGUACCUGUGACUGCAUAUCAUGGUACCAUUUUGAACUGUUUGUGGAUAUUGCAUUAAAUCCAUAUGCUUGAAACUUUUCAAUAAUGCAUAUCAACGAAACAAUGGAAUGAAAUAAAUCAAGCAAUUUGUGGGACUUGGCUGCUUUUACAUUAUUACUCAUUUUGGGGGUUAUUUCAGUCUCUCCAACCUGCAGGUCGUGCGAAGAAUCAUAAUGUGAAUGGG
ensembl:lncRNA